AUAUCGAGUUUACAGGAACAAAUGGAGUUGCUGAAGUCUGAAAUAGAAGAUAUGAAAAAUGGAAAAGAGAUUGAUGAUAUGGCGUUUUAUAAAAAAAUUGGAUGAUUCUUCUAUUCCUUCAGAUGAUGAGAUGGAACAGGAUGAAGAUGAAGAGGCCUACUUGCAAACAUAUGACAGUGGAGAU